UUGCUCUUUUGUAUAUUUUAGUAUAUUUUACAAUAUUUUACACAGUUUACAUUGUCUUCAUGAAAAAGGUCGUGUAUACAUAUUUAGAUGACACGUAAACAAUCUGCGUAGAUGUGAUCUUGAAAUCAUCGAUACAACCCUGACUAACGCUUUAUACGAUCGUACGAGGAUCGCUCGUAGUUGAGACUCGGCGAGACUGGAAUUCGACACAGGAGACGCGCCAAAAUGUCCUUCAUGUCUGCCCUGUGAUAAUGUAAAUGUGGUAUGAAGGACAUUUUUUCCGUACAACAUUAGAGCGACAUCGACAUCUGCUGUUAAGAGUAACGGGUCGACGGUGACGUUCGCAGCUGCAUCGUCGAGAUCUCGAGAUCGUGAUCGAAUAUUGUAGGAAAAAGUUAACACUUAUCGGCUAUUUUGGUGCACUGGACGAUCGGAUAUUUUCUUUUUAUUUCGCGUUGGGCUGGACAAGGCUCGAUAAUGGCCGAUAAAGAUCUCGCGUGCGGAUAUCGAAUCGAUAUUUUUUCUAUAUAUUCGUAAUAUACUAAGAGAUAUUUGUAGUAGACAUUGGUAUAUAAUACCAAAAAUUAAAAUAUUCUGUUGGUAUAUUUACAUAAUAGAAAAUGUUCUCAAUAUAUAUAUUGAGUAGUCUAUGGAUAUGGACAUAGAAACAUCCUCCGCACAUUCUCAGAAUAUCAUAGAUCUACCUGUACUGUAUGGGUUACCUGACGAAUGAACUCUCGUCGUCUACUCAUACCGCUGUGCUUCGCUACGAAUCUCGCGAGGCGUGCUGUAUUUUCCCACCGGACAAGUGUGCGAUCCUAGAAGGAUAACGCGUUAUGUGGUCAGAAUCGCCGGUCCAUUUGCGAAGUGCGCGAGUGAGCGAGCAAGAGAGAUCCAUAGAGAGAGGAAAAGAGAGGAGAGAGAGAGAGAGAGAGGAAGAGAGAGAGGGAGAGAGAGAAAGUCCCCGAGGCGCGCGCGUGGCCAUUGUUCGGUCAUUUUCAUUGUGUCGGUGCUUAUAUUACUAUACGGCUAUUAUUCCCCAUGCCGGCAUUUUCAAUUGGAGAUAUUUAUGUGACCUGGUUAUACAGUCUGCGACACCUGGCGAUUCUGACUUUUUCACGCGUCGACCAUAUUUAACCCUUAAUGUGAUAUAGUGCCGCCUUAUGUGCGACCCUACUCGCAAUUAGUUACCAGAUCUACCGUAUUUAGCGUGAACAAAGACGCUCACUAUUAUUUUCAUUUUCUGCCGCGGUAAAGCUGGAGUUUUUGCGAGUAAAAAGAAAAUGUGCACAGUCGAUUGGAGUAAAGUAAAGAUAAAAAUAGGUACAGGCUAAUAUGGAAUAGGCUAAUAUGGAAUAGGAGCUUAUUUUUUUAGAGUCCCUUAAGUAAAAGUCUGAACAUGUUUAUUUGUUAAAAAAAUAUAUGAGUCAUGUAAGAAAUAGCUAUUGUAUUCCAAAUUGUACAAAUAGAAAUUUGAAAGAAUUUUCGAUAAAAUAUUCCUAUGAACUGAACAGAAAGUGUUAACAAUAAAACUAUGUAUAAAUAUGACUAUGUAUAGUAUUGUAAAAUAAUAUAUAAUAUAUAAAAUAAAAUAUAAUAUAUAAUA